AGAGUUUGAUCCUGGCUCAGAACGAACGCUGGCGGCAUGCCUAACACAUGCAAGUCGAACGAGACCUUUCGGGGUCUAGUGGCGCACGGGUGCGUAACGCGUGGGAAUCUGCCCUUGGGUUCGGAAUAACAGUUAGAAAUGACUGCUAAUACCGGAUGAUGUCUUCGGACCAAAGAUUUAUCGCCCAAGGAUGAGCCCGCGUAGGAUUAGCUAGUUGGUGGGGUAAUGGCUUACCAAGGCGACGAUCCUUAGCUGGUCUGAGAGGAUGAUCAGCCACACUGGGACUGAGACACGGCCCAGACUCCUACGGGAGGCAGCAGUGGGGAAUAUUGGACAAUGGGCGAAAGCCUGAUCCAGCAAUGCCGCGUGAGUGAUGAAGGCCUUAGGGUUGUAAAGCUCUUUUACCCGGGAUGAUAAUGACAGUACCGGGAGAAUAAGCUCCGGCUAACUCCGUGCCAGCAGCCGCGGUAAUACGGAGGGAGCUAGCGUUAUUCGGAAUUACUGGGCGUAAAGCGCACGUAGGCGGCUUUGUAAGUAAGAGGUGAAAGCCUGGAGCUCAACUCCAGAACUGCCUUUUAGACUGCAUCGCUUGAAUCCAGGAGAGGUGAGUGGAAUUCCGAGUGUAGAGGUGAAAUUCGUAGAUAUUCGGAAGAACACCAGUGGCGAAGGCGGCUCACUGGACUGGUAUUGACGCUGAGGUGCGAAAGCGUGUGGAGCAAACAGGAUUAGAUACCCUGGUAGUCCACGCCGUAACGAUGAUAACUAGCUGUCGGGGCUCUUAGAGCUUCGGUGGCGCAGCUAACGCAUUAAGUUAUCCGCCUGGGGAGUACGGCCGCAAGGUAAAACUCAAACGAAUUGACGG
rnacentral:rRNA from 1 species